rnacentral:rRNA from 1 species
GACGAACGCUGGCGGCGUGCUUAACACAUGCAAGUCGAACGGUAAGGCCCUUCGGGGUACACGAGUGGCGAACGGGCGAGUAACACGUGGGUGAUCUGCCCUGCACUUCGGGAUAAGCCUGGGAAACUGGGUCUAAUACCGGAUAGGACCACCGCCUGCAGGGGCGGUGGGGGAAAGCUUUUGCGGUGUGGGAAGGGCCCGCGGCCUAUCAGCUUGUUGGUGGGGUGAUGGCCUACCAAGGCGACGACGGGUAGCCUGCCUGGGAGGGUGACCGGCCACACUGGGACUGAGAUACGGCCCAGACUCCUACGGGAGGCAGCAGUGGGGAAUAUUGCACAAUGGGCGCAAGCCUGAUGCAGCGACGCCGCGUGAGGGAUGACGGCCUUCGGGUUGUAAACCUCUUUCAGCACCGACGAAGCGCAAGUGACGGUAGGUGCAGAAGAAGGACCGGCCAACUACGUGCCAGCCGCCGCAGUAA